AUCUGACUGAUACAACCUCUUCAACCUAUCAGCCAAGGGCAAAUACCACAUACGCUUAUAUGGUAUUUUGUUUCGCCCACUAGUAACCUGAAACCUUUCAGCACCACAGAAACGACAUUGAGACAUAUUUACAUUAUCUCCCCAAAAAAUCAUACAAUUUUCUCUACACACGUCAAUCAUUUGGAAUGGUAAACCUAGCCCAGAUACCAAUUUUUGGAUUGCGUUGUAUGAAACUGGCGAUAAAUUAUCUUCCGGUAGAUAAUCGUGGAUAAAAUCAGCCCACGCAUCAACGCAAUCUUCACUUAAAUUGUAGUCUGUUUUGAUGUUCAUCAUACGUGUUGCGGCGGAUAAAGGAGAAUGACCCUCUCUGCAUCCUGCAUAUAUCGGAUGAUUUGCAGCAUCUAACAUAUCGAAAAAUCCCUGUGUUUCUAAGUUGGGUUCCUCCGCAACAUUAGUAUUUUCUACGUUAUCAUGAAAUUCACCACUACCAAUUCCAAUUACAUUAUCUUCUUCCUGGUGAAUAUGCUCAUCGCUAAUUAUAACGUUUUCAUCUCUUCUUUCACGACUACUACUAGGACCCGAUCUAAAAUCCUCCCCGUGAGAAAACCAUAUAUAAUAUCCUGGUGUAAAACCUCCCCAAUAUAAAUGAUUCCAAACAAUGUCUUUUGCAAGAAAAUGAUCAUUACAACAUUUGACACAAGGACAUGCCAUAAUACCUUCGAUACGCGUCAUUUCUUGAUUAGAUGCAAACUGCAUGAAUUCCAUUAAACCUUCCUUGUACUCCUGCCUCAUAGCUCCGGUCUCAUCAUCUAAUCGAUUAUACAUCCACUCUCUAAUUUUAUAAAUAUUAUGAGAAGACAUUUUUUUUUCCAAGAUUUUCUUGUGUGUCUGUUUUUUUUUUGCAACUAUUUUCUUGUGUUUAUGAUUCUUUCGUUGUCUAGUAUAUAUAUAAAACUUUUCCGACUAACAUUUUGUCGGAAAUUCGUCGGAAAUAUUAAAGGUAACCACUUUAGAAUUUCCGACAAGUUUUCCGACUAAUUUUUUCGAUCAAGUUGUCGGGAUUACGUCGGAACAUGUGCAGUGAAUAAUCACGUGUUUACCUAGUUUUUUCCGACAAAUUUUCCGACAAGUUUCCGAGCAGUUUCCGAUGACAUUGGAUUGUCGGAAUUUUCCAUGGUUUCCGACAAAUAUUUCCGACGAAAUUCCGACGAAUUUUUAAUCGUCGGAAAAGUUUUUAUGUUUCCGACGAGUUUCCGACGAAAUAUUAUUUUCUUGGAAGUUUGUCGGAAAUUCCCCGGAAAUCCGUCGGAAUAAUUCCGACUAAAUAUUUCAUCGGAAAUGUUCGUCGGAAAUUGCUAUGUUUUCUUGUAGUGUUAGAAGUUGUAUCUAAAGAUACCAAAGAUUAAUACUGUGAAAAUAUGAUGAAGAAGAAUAAAAUUUGGGUGUAGAUAUUGAUAUUUUCAGCUGAACUUAGUAGUACCUAAAAUGUAUUCCAUGUUACCAUAGCUUCAUAGUCAUAGAAAUGUUUCAAACAUGAUGCCGGACGUUAUAAAAUGUCUAUAUCCACAUAAUGAAUUUGUGUUUCUAUUAUCUAUUGUGAUUAAUUGAUCUGGUCUUUCAUGAGCGUACAAAAUACAUGAAAGUGUAGUUGUAUGUUGUCUAUGAUGCAAUUCAAGACAAGUUCAUCAACACUCAGCUUGUUGACCGAUUAGUUGAUAUCUUAACUAAGACUUCGAUUGCCAAUUAUAUUUGGUCCUCAAGUUAACAUCUCUUGCUCCAAGUUAUCUCUAAAGCCAGAUUAUUUCGCAUUGUGUUGUAACAAAUUCGAUGAUAAUUAAGCAUUUGUGGAAUCCAAAUAGAAUCUGGUAUCAGUCACUAGUGGAGUGUAUUAGUAGAACUGGGGACUGUUUGAUUCAACUUCACAUUUGCCAAAAGCCCGAGCUCAUUUGACACACAUUAAUAUGAUUUAAUCACUUGUUGGUUCACUACAUGAACUAGUGAACUCGUUCACUUGGUUUAGAUAUUCCAGUGUUUUUGAUAUUUUCUUAAUAGUAUCAAACAUACGAUUCUUUCUUUUACUGUUUUUUUUUAUGUCGAUAUCAAACUGUUUUUUCUUCCGUCUGGACACAUACACUUUUUAUGUAAUGCUCGUUAAUUAAGUUUGGUUGUUAUUAUACUUCCACUACAAGAAAACAUGCCUUUUGCGACUCCUUUUUGUGACUCUUCUUUUGGUCGCAAAUAUUUGCGACGCUUUUAUUACACUUCAGUGACUCAUUUACGACUACAGAAAAAACAGACGCAUAUUCGUCGCGAAUAUACGACGCCGUAGUAUAGUCUGAGAAUGGUCAUAAAUCCGCGACCCUUUUACGAUACUUUUGCAACCCAAACGACAUCCAAUUUUUUUUGUCUGAAAUAUCUUCAUCGUCACAAAAGAUUCGUAAAUUUACAACUAAUUUGUCUCUCUUUAGAGACUUGUUCUGUUUUUUAAAUUGUAAUUUGAUAAAAUAGAAUGUGUAAUAUGUUAAGUAACCAUAUUUUGCAAUGUUUAUAACUAAUACAUUGAAAGAUUAGUUGUUAAUGUUUUAAUUUUUCAUGUUUAUAACUAAAUCUUUGUAAGAACCUAUCAUGUAUAAAAUGUUACAUAGACUUUCAAAAGAGAAUGUUCUUAAUCUAUGUAAGUUUGAAAAUAAACUUACCAAAUCAUUGUUUUAUCAAAUAAAUUGAAAGAAAUACUCCACAAAUGGACUCUAGAGUGAUAUAUAAUACUUAUACUAAUGUAUUUUGAUCUAAAUGUUGAGAAAUCAUAAAUAUUGGUUUGUGACUCAUACACGAUCGUCGCAAAAGUGUGUCUCUUUGCGAUUACUUUGCCACUGCCUAGUGUUACAACGAAUGUGCUACUCUUUAGUGACCAUUUUGUUACGAAUUUUGCGACGAAGUUGCCUCGAUUAGACGAAUUAUCUAACAAUUCUAAAAUAAAGUCUUGUGACUCAUGCGAGUGGUCACAAAAGUGUCACUUUAUUGUGAUUCUAUUGCUACACUAUAAUUAUUUUGCGACUACUUGUGCAACCAGAUUGCGACCGACUUGGGACCGGUUUGUGAUUUUUACCAAAAUUUAGGGUUUUCGAUUAGGCGGCAAUUAAUCCCUCGUGUUUUUUUAGGUGUGACUCAUUUGACACGGCUUUGCGACUACUUUUCUUUUAUGUCUACUAGUGAAAAGUCACAAACCCAAACACUUAGCAUUUUCUUCGAUUUCUCCGCAUCUUCUUCGAUCUCUCUCUUCCAUUCUCUUCGAUUCUUCCUCUAUCUUCCUCUUUUCUCUUCGAUUCUUCCUCUCUUCUUCGAUUCGAUUACUCUUCUUCCUACUUCAAUUCUCUUCCUACUUCAAUUCUCUUCCAACUUCGAUUCUUCGAUUCGAUUCGAUUCUUCCUCUCUCUCUUCGAUUCUUCUGUUCUCUGUAAUGGCGCCAAAGGGGAAAGCAAGUAGGGGCCGUGGUGGUGGGAGAUCCGGUGUACGAGUGUUCAAUGGUCGAAACCCUAAAGUUGCUGUCGGAACGUCUUCGAACGCCUCCAAUCCUUCGUCUUCAACCGCAACUGUUCCGAGUCAAACAACUUCGAUGAGUCAAACAUCUAGGCCAACUGUUCCGAGUCAGUAUCCGGCGUCGUCACAACCACCACCUCCUGCUCGCCUUCCAUCACCGCAGGUUAGUCAGCAACAGCCGCCUCCUCAUCAAUAGCCGCCUCCUCAUCAACAGCCGCCUCCUCAUCAACAACCUCCUCCUAAUUAUCAGCAGCAGCCGCCGCUUUAUCAACCGCCUCCUCCUAAUUAUCAGCAGCCGCCGCUUUAUCAACAGCCGGGUCCUUAUCAUCAACCUCCUCCUUAUCAGGUAUCAUAGAAUCUCUCUUUUGUUCUUGUCUCAGUUGUGUGAAUCAGAGUUUUGUCUGUAGAUUAAGGCUAUUAGGUUAAUCAGAGAUAUCAAUGUCAGUACACAGUUUCCUUUUUUCUUGUCUAACUUGUUACCUUCUUGUUGUAUCUUCUUCAGGACCAAGACCAUCCUCACGACCAAGUCCAUCCUCAGCAGAUUCCCCAACCUCAUAUGCCUCCUCAGGAAAACCCUAAUGCUCCACCGCCUGACUACCAGCAGAUGUUAGAGAAUUUGUUGGUUCUGCCUGGCCGAGAGCAUCUUCCACGGCUGAGUAAUGUCCCAAUUCCAGGCGUUGAGACUAUAUGGUAUAAACCUCCUCUAUGUUUAGCUUAAUGUUUGGUUAAUGUUUUUCAUUAAAUUAGUUCUCAUGUGUAAUGUUCUAGCUUGAUUAUCAUAAAUUAAGGCUAUUAGGUUAAUCAUUGUCUGUUUAGAUCACUUGUUCAUUGUCUAAUGUCUGUUUUUUAUCAAGUGUCUUACUAAUGAUCUAAUGUCUGUUUUUAUCAAAUGUCUUACUAAUUGUUUGUUAUCUUAUGUCUAAUGUCUGUUUUUAUCUAUAGGUUUGGCCGAGACAAAGGAAAAUUGUCUAGGAGUAUUGCUGGAAUAUUUCGGAGAAAAUUUGAUGGACCUUUUACUAUAGCUGGAAGGUGACUCCUACAGCCAUUCAAGAGCGAUAUUUCAGAUCAUUUGCGGUAAUGUUUGAUAUUCCUAUCAAUGUGUAAUAGUAUAUGUUGCAAUGAAUUAAUAUGAGUUAUACUAAUUCAUACUAAUCUGUGUAGGGGAAAUUCAAUUGGGAUAUUGGGAUUACGGAGCUAGUCAGAGAAGGAUUCUUGGUCAUCGCCAAGAAAAGGCUUAAAGGAAUUGUUAGUCAAGCGAAGCUUUCUGGUCUCCAACCGUAUUGGAUUACCAGUAAUGACCUGUGGGCACAGAUGUGUGCUUAUUGGAAAACUGAGGAAGCAAUUGAAAAGAGUGAAACUGCAUCACAGUCCAGAAACAGUGAUCGUAAUGGUCUUGGAGUCCACAAACACGUAUCAGGGCAAAAAUCAUUCAUGCAAGUUCACCAAGAGCUGGUAUGAAUCUAUAUAACCUUUCACUUUGUUUUUAAAUAUUGCACUUAGAUCACUAUAUGUUGUUACCUCUGUUCUGUGAUUUUAAUGAUGUCUUUGUAUCAUUAUAGGAGGAAGAAUUGGGGCGUCCUGUGUCAUAUGGAGAAGUGUUUAUGCAAACACACACAAGAGCAGAUGGUACUUUUGUAGAUGCUAAAGCCAAACAAGUAGCUGAGGUCUAUAAUAAGAGCAUAGAAGAGAGACUGUCUGAACUGGCUGAAGAUGGUGAAGACGCUUCAGAUGAUUCCUCUCAGCAGUCAACUCACCGGACUCUCACCAUUGAAGAAAAGAAUGAACUCUUUCUUAAGGUAAUCUCGUGUAAGUUUUUGUUUAGAGUUUGCAUAUCAUCAUCACUGUUUGGUAAUCAUAUAUAGAAUCAGUCCAUGUAUUUAUGAUUAAUACUUGAAUGAUUCUGUUUUUGAUCUUGAAUGACUCUAUUUGCUAAUACUUGAAUACUUGACUGAUUAUUUUUGCUUGAGCAUGAUUCUGUUUUUUUUUCUUAAGUGUACUGAAACAGAUGUGAAGGGGAACUAUUUUGGCAUUGGAUCUCUUAAGGUGACCCUUAAGAAAGGGAAAAGAAAAGAAAGCUAUGCUAGCAGCUCUUCUUCCUCCAUAACCGAGCUUCAUGAUCAACUUCGUCAAAAGAUGGCUGAGCACGACGCAGAGAAUGCUCGACGUGAUGCGGAGCAACAAGCAUCUCAAACUCGGAUUGCAAACUUGGAGAGGCUUGUUAUGUAUUGGAAAGAGAAUGAUCCUGCCUUUGCAGCUUUUGUUGCAUCUCAGCCACAACCAACUGCACCAGCCAACACACAAGCCGCCAAUGCAACAGCCACCAAUGCAACAGCCAGCGCCAAUGCACCAGCCACCGCCAAUGCACCAGCCACAGGCGCCACUGCACCAACAUGAACCGUCGCAGCCACAACAACACCUUCUUCAUCCUUCUAAGUGCUUUUGUAAAUUUUUCUUUCUCUUAUGAACAUGAUGAAUAUUGUUAAUGUUUAAGGUUAUGUAAGGCUUUUGAUUACAUUAGGGCUUUUGGUUAGCAACAUUAAGGAUUUGAUUAGCAACAUUUGGAUUUAUAUGAAUUCGGUUUUGUUAUUUUUAGAAUCAAAAUAAAGCUUAUUUGCGACUAAUUAAUAGUCUCUCAAAACCAAAAUUAGUCUCAAUUAAACGACUGCAAUGUUUGUCACUAAUUAGUCGCUAACUAACAUGCGUAGCUAAGACGUCGCAAAAAUACGACUCUUAAUGUCAGUCUUUAUGUCGUCGCUUAUCUGCGAUGACAUAAAUUAGUCUCAAUACCGUCACAAAUAUGCGACUACAAUGCGACCAUUUAAUUUAGCGACCGUUUUUUAGCGACCAACUUUAGUAGUCGCAAAGAAGUCGCAAACAACGAUUAGCGACCGUUUAAGGACUCGUUUGGGAGUCGCAAAAGACAUGUUUUCUUGUAGUGUUCCCUAUCAAUUAAACGCUGCCAUUCACAAAAUAUUUGAACACUUCUAGAAUAUUUGAAGAAGUUCAAUAUUUGAACACUUCUAGUAUAAGUUUUUCUUAUCCAUAUCCACAAAGAAAUAUUCACAUUCUACAAGUUAGACUUAUUGCCCAUGAUUCAUUUGUAAACUAUAUAUAUAUAUAUUUUUGAACACUUCUAGAAUAUAAGUUUUUCUCAUUCAUCAUAUCCCCAAAGAAAUAUUCACAUUCUAUAUAUUUAGAGCCGGCCAAGAGUACAAGCCAGCCAAGCUGCUGCUUGCGGCCGUCAAAUGUUUAUAUAUUAAAUUGGCCAUUUUUUUCUGUGAAAAGUCGUUAGUUCUGUUGGAAACGUACUACUCAUUGCGGUAAAUGGUCGCAGGUGCGAGACACCAGCAGAUGACGAUGUUUUUUUUUUCUUUUUUUUCCAAGGGAAAUUCAGCCAAAAAAAAUUUCUGCUUGUAGCCACCAAAACAUUAGGAAAGGCUCUGUAUAUGUUAGACUAAUGUAUGAUUUAUUUGUAAACUAUGAUGUAACCGCUCUGAUUUGUUCCUCUUAUGUUAUUGAUGAACUAGUCAUUAUAAUUAGUGUCUUGCCAAAAAGUACCCUUCUACCUUGUUAGCAUUACACAUUACAAACAGUUAGUUCUCUCGAAAUUGUAGUAAAAAAUGUAGGAAAGCCCGUAUUGGUUGACCGGUGACAGCACACUUUCACCAAUCAAUCCAACAAAGUAUGCAACCACACCGAUAACCAGGCCCGGCCCGCCACCAAUUCUCAAGAUACAAAAUUAUUGGGCCUCCAGAAUUUUUAAAAUUUUUAGUAUCAAAAUUAGACCCCAAUUUUUUCUGAAUAUUGCAAAAUACGCCCCAAAUUUUCUGAAAUUUUAAGAUUUGAUCUCAAAUUUUUAAUUUCUUCUAUAAAAUCCAUCAAAAAAAAAAUUGUUUUGUAUUAAGCCCUAUAUUUCACAGGGCCGAUACUGCCGAUAACAUCACAAUUUCAUGUGUACCAAUCAAUCCAGCAAAGUAUGCCAUCACUGAGACCGAGGUAUACUUUGUUAGAAUGAUUGGCACAAAUGAAAUUGUGUUGUCGUGUGAACAUCCACACAUAGGAGGUAAUAUACGUAAAAUAUGCUAGCAAUAAUGUUCAUGUAUACAAAACACUUCAUGUUGUGGUGUUCUAGUCCAUAGUGCUUGACCCUCCUCACGAUUUCGUGGUGGAGACACUACACUAAACCCUAGACUCCCCUAUUUGGUAGAAUUUUUGCGAAUUCGAUUUUAGGGUUUUUGCCUCUCUCGUCAUCUUUCAUUGAUUCAUUGCAACAAACCUAUUUAUACUACUUCCAUCGUUAACCUUUUUUUUAAAAAAACUACUUAUUUAACUUACUAAACCCUACGAAACCCAUCUCAAUAUGGGCCUGACUUUAUAUAAUGGCCCAAUGGCCCUUUCCUCUUUAAUUAUGACUUUCUUCGUUGACUCUCCUUCUUCUUCUUUCGAUGGUAAAUUUGACGGAAAAAGUAAACGACGUCGUUUCUGUGAAACGCAGAGCUCUUUGCUAAACUUCUUCCGUUUUUUUUUUCUCUCCAACCACAAGGAACGAUAACAAAAUCAUCAGAUCGCCAGAAAAAAAAAAACCAAUUGCGAAAUGGAGAAUCUCAGCUUCGAGAGAUCUGCGUCAAUCUCCAUCUAGAUGUGGCUACUUCUUCGUCUCCAUAGAAGCAUAAUUUCAUCAGAUCUCGCUGAUUAAUCAUCCGCAUUUGGAUCUGAUUCGAAACUCCUAGGGAAGAACAUGGCAGGAGCGGCCUCGGCUCUGUUUCUGCUCGAUAUCAAGGGACGUAUUCUCGUCUGGCGUGAUUACCGUGGCGAUGUCUCCGCUGCUCAAGCCGAGCGAUUCUUCACUAAGCUCAUUGAGAAAGAGGUUUUUCUGAUCUUCCUCUUAUCGCUCAUUGAUCGGUGUUUAUUGCUGAAUUAUUAUAGAAUUGGAAAGGAACAGAGAGAUAGUGAACGAACUUGUAGAUUUUUGUGUUUGAGAUAGUCGUCAAUUGGAAUUGAAACAUUUCGAAGCAAUGAACACGCUUGAUUUUCGUCUGUACUAGAAAUCAAAUUGAUUCGUGUCCGUAUUUGUGAUCUGAUGCUUUGGAUUAGAAUGUGAUUUGAAUCAGCAUUUUGAAGAAAUCAGAGUAAGAUUCUUAUCAUUGUUUUGUUUAAUUGUUCAGGGUGAUUCACAGUCAAAUGAUCCAGUUGCUUACGAUAAUGGGGUUACUUAUAUGUUUGUACAACAUAGUAAUGUAUACUUGAUGAUAGCAUCCAGACAGAAUUGUAAUGCUGCCAGUCUUCUCUUCUUUCUUCACCGCGUAGUCGAUGUAAGUAAAUUCUUUUCUCUUAAGGUUCCAUCUUUUUUUUCCGGGUGUUUGAUGUAAUGGCAAUGGUUAUAGGUUUUCAAGCAUUACUUCGAGGAGUUAGAAGAGGAAUCAUUGAGGGAUAACUUUGUGGUUGUGGUAUGUUAAGCUUCUGUCAUCGCCCUUUUAGUACUAUUUGGCAAUACUUGCUCAAUCAAAAAGAUCCUUCAAAAUUCGGAAUAGUAUUUGUCUUUGUUAAAUGCUGAAAUUUAUUUCUGGUGCUGGCAGUAUGAGCUACUUGACGAGAUGAUGGACUUUGGUUACCCUCAGUAUACCGAAGCAAGAAUUCUCAGUGAAUUCAUCAAGACUGAUGCAUAUAGAAUGGAAGUUACACAGAGACCUCCAAUGGCUGUGACAAAUGCCGUCUCCUGGAGGAGUGAGGGAAUACAGUACAAGAAAAAUGAAGUGAGUGCUUUUGUUAUCAAGAGAGGAAUGUGUUUGUGUUGUGUUUCGGUUUGCAAAUGAUGACAACCUGCUCCCUUUUUCAGGUUUUCUUGGAUGUAAUUGAGAAUGUAAAUAUUCUUGUCAACAGUAAUGGGCAAAUUGUCAGGUCUGAUGUUGUUGGAGCACUGAAGAUGCGAACUUACUUGACGUAUGUCAACAGAUCAAAUUUUCAAUAUACCUAAUCAGCCAAAGCAUGUUAAAUCACUUCCCUUUUGCUUUGAUCACUGUCCUAGCGUUUUAUUUGACUCUUUGAUCCAUUCUAUUGUAGUGGAAUGCCAGAGUGUAAGUUAGGACUGAAUGAUAGAGUAUUGCUGGAAGCGCAGGGACGAGCAACAAAGGGAAAAGCCAUUGAUUUAGAGGACAUCAAAUUUCAUCAGUACGUCUUUAACCCUUCUAGUUUCUUUUAAUUCUAAAAGGUUCUAUACUUGAGCUUUAUGUAUUCUCUUCUUCAACAAUCAAUUAUUUAAUGCAGGUGUGUUCGAUUGGCCCGUUUUGAAAAUGAUAGGACGAUAUCUUUCAUACCACCUGAUGGGGCUUUUGAUCUGAUGACAUAUAGACUCAGUACUCAGGUUUGACAUGUGGUAUAUAGCAUUUACUGGAAUUGUUCCGCGUCUUCAACAAGUAAAUAUCGUGAUUUGUUUCUUUUAUUUUCAGGUAAAGCCUCUUAUAUGGGUGGAAGCGCAAAUAGAAAGUCAUUCCAGAAGUCGUGUUGAGAUGCUUAUAAAAGCCAGGAGUCAGUUCAAAGAACGAAGGUAAAUAUAUUAUACGAUAUUGUGCCACAUUUCCUUUUCUCUUUUACUGUAAUGCAAAGAUCCUGAUGAUCAGAUUCUUUGAACCUUUGACCGAAAACUUUCUAUUUGUAGCACCGCAACGAACGUUGAGAUUGAGUUGCCUGUACCGACCGAUGCAUCUAACCCCACCGUUAGGACAUCUCUAGGGUCUGCCUCUUAUGCUCCUGAAAAAGAUGCGUUAGUCUGGAAAAUCAAAUCUUUCCCCGGGAACAAGGUAUAAACUUAUAACACUAGCAAGUUUUAUAACAUUCUUAAAUCCAGUGGAAACAAUCAGCAAUGUAGUAUCAAUGCUAACCUUCGGAAACCAAUAUAGGAGUACAUGUUAAGGGCAGAGUUCCAUCUUCCAAGUAUUACUGCAGAGGAAGCAACACCUGAGCGAAAAGCUCCUAUCCGUGUCAAAUUCGAGAUCCCUUACUUCACUGUUUCGGGGAUUCAGGUAAGCUUGUGCUCAAUAAUAAAUGGUUUCUAUAUUUUCUGCAUUUUUUAGUUCAUCCCAGUGCGUUAGUGUCUCUUCCACAAUGUCAUUAAAUUAUAUGUUUUCUGGUGUGUAGGUUCGGUACCUAAAGAUAAUUGAGAAGAGCGGGUACCAAGCACUUCCAUGGGUGAGAUACAUAACCAUGGCUGGUGAGUACGAACUAAGACUCGUGUAAGGCUCAUUUAGUUUCAUCGUCUAUGUCAUUGUGAUUCCCACAUUCCUCCGGGGAAUUGCCUGGAUCAAAUGAAGCAAAAUGAAACAGGACAAAAGUAGAGAAAAACGAAAAUGUUUUGAAACAUUUUAGCUGAUCAAAUUUUCCUCUAAUCUGUUUUAGAAGCCAUAUUCUUGUGAAUUUGUCUUUAUGGUGAUUUUAUCUUAUUUUACAUGAGGCUCUUUGUAACCUUCACGACAUGGUUAUUUUUUUGUUUCUUAUGCCCGUGACAUUUCUGUCUAUGUGUUUGUUCUGCGAUCGAAAUUGUUAAACGUUGAGGUUUUGGUUUUGGGGCAUCAGUCUAUGUUUAGUUGUUUACCAAGUUUUUCUCGAGUACGAUCAAAAUUAAUAAAACUGAAAGAAACAAACCAUCUUACAUAUAGAAAGAUUAGAGAUAGCCAACUAUGGAGAGACUGAGUACAAAACUUGGGGUGUAUUUACAGCUGAAAAUAUGGGCCCUAACGAAAUUAUCCUUAAGCCCAUUAAGAGGUCCACAGUCCAUUUUCUUCUCCUCCUCCAAUUCUGUUUCGAGCUUUGGAAGUGACAGUGAAUUAGGGUUUUACUCAAAAACCUCCUCGUUGUCGUUGCUCACUGCUCCGACGAGAAAAUGGCGAUGCGACAUUUGAGCCGAUCGAGAGACGUCACAAAGAGAUCGACGAAGAAGUACAUCGAAGAACCUCUUUACCAUCGACUAUUCAAAGAUGGCGGCACAGAGGUCAAAGUUCGACAGCAGCUGAAUCAGUUCCUCAAAGGCACUAAACACGUCUUCAAAUGGGAAGUCGGAGAUACGAUCAAGAAACUCCGAAAUCGCGGCCUCUAUUACCCAGCUCUCAAGGUUUCAUUUGCAUUUUCGAUUCUUCAAGAUUAGCUUCACAAUAAUUUUCAGAUUAUUACAACCAUUUGCUUUAACCCUGUUGAAUACAUAUAGAAAUGUAGAUUCUUAAGUGGUAGUUUGAUUCUCAUUAUGAACAAUUUAGUAAUUGUUGAGUGUCUUCUAUUGAAAUUGGUGAUGAUUGUUUUUUUAGAAUUCAUAUUUUUUGGUUUGUAGCUAUCUGAAGUUAUGGAAGAGAGAGGUAUGAACAAGACAGUGAGUGAUCAAGCAAUCCAUCUUGAUCUUGUUGCUAAAGCUCGGGGAAUUACUGCUGGGGAGAAUUAUUUUGUUGAUCUUCCGGAAACAUCUAAGACGGAACUCACGUAUGGGUCUCUUUUGAACUGCUACUGCAAGGAGUUGUUGACGGAGAAGGCGGAAGGUUUACUUAACAAGAUGAAAGAGCUUAACAUUACUCCUAGUUCCAUGUCUUAUAACAGUCUCAUGACUCUUUAUACCAAGACAGGUCAGACUGAGAAAGUUCCGGCGAUGAUCCAAGAAUUGAAGGCUGAGAAUGUAAUGCCGGAUUCAUACACGUACAAUGUGUGGAUGAGGGCUUUGGCUGCUACUAAUGAUAUUUCUGGUGUUGAGAGAGUUAUCGAAGAGAUGAAUAGAGAUGGUAGAGUUGCUCCAGAUUGGACUACGUAUAGCAAUAUGGCAUCGAUAUAUGUUGAUGCUGGACUGUCUCAGAAAGCUGAGAAGGCUCUUCAGGAACUGGAGAUGAAAAACACGCAACGGGAUUUUACGGCAUAUCAGUUUCUUAUUACUUUGUAUGGACGUCUGGGAAAACUGACUGAAGUUUACAGGAUUUGGCGUUCGUUGAGGCUGGCUAUGCCGAAAACCUCAAAUGUAGCUUAUCUAAACAUGAUACAGGUGCUGGUCAAGUUGAAUGAUUUACCGGGUGCUGAGACACUGUUCAAGGAGUGGCAAGCUAACUGUUCUACUUAUGACAUCAGGAUUGUAAAUGUGUUGAUUGGAGCUUAUGCUAAAGAGGGUCUCAUCGAAAAAGCAAAAGAGCUCAAGGAGAAAGCUCCCAGGAGAGGUGGCAAGGCCAAUGCUAAAACCUGGGAAAUCUUCAUGGAUUACUAUGUAAAGAGCGGUGAUAUGGCUCACGCACUCGAAUGUAUGUCUAAGGCAGUUUCUAUCGGCAAAGGAGAUGGUGGCAAGUGGAUACCGUCACAGGAAACAGUCAGAACUUUGAUGAGCUAUUUCGAGCAAAAGAAAGAUGUUAAUGGAGCUGAGAAUUUGUUGGAGAUUUUAAAGAAUGGAACAGAUAACAUAGGCGCAGAAAUCUUUGAGUCAUUGAUAAGAACAUAUGCAGCAGCGGGAAAGAGUCAUCCUGCUAUGCGUCGACGUCUGAAGAUGGAAAACGUGGAGGUUAAUGAAGUGACAAAGAAGCUACUUGAUGAAGUAUCUCAGGAGGUGUGAGGUCUGUUCCAUCUCUUUCCCCUUCAUUAUUUCCUUCAGGCGACACACAUUAUUAGUCGUGUUAGGGGCACUUGCGUUGUCACAGCUCUGUUUCUUAUUGGUAAUAAAAAUAGGCUCUGAAUCGGCAAAAUCAAUCGUAUGGGUCUGUUUUACUUCACCUUAGACUGUUUGUUCAUGUUUUUGUGAAUUGUUUCGGUCUUAGCUUGGAUUUACAGUUGAGACAGCUCUCACAAUGUAAGCCUAUUUGUUUGAGAUCUUAUUUUGGUUCAAGACAGAAACAUAAUCAAGAAUAUGAUAUUUUGCUAAAUAAUGUCAAUUAGGAACAAAAUUUUGCGGAUUGUGUUCCAAAAUGCAAUGAAUAUCUGGAUUUUUUUUUCUUAAUUACAUCUGCAAAAAGAUACCACUAAAAAUCCUGGACUCUGAAAAUUUUGAACUGCCUAAAAAUUCUAUUGUAGUUACAUUUACCCGAUUGAUAUUGGUCAAGAACAUCCCCUGAAAACUAAGAAAGGAACAUUUACAUAAACAUAAUUAAGGAUAAGCUUCUUUUGGUCAGUUUUGAGGAAUUAGUUUUAGUGUUUUCUUCUAUAGUGUGGCUCGAUCAUCUUAUCAAUGUAGCAAGCAACAAACAGUUAGUUCCCAUCUUCCUGAGCUCAUCUACAGCGUUCUGAAGGGUGUUGACUUGAUGUGAAUCUAUGAACCCGUUGACACAAACACCGUAAUCUGAUACAGCCGCGGUCAAAUACAUUUUUAGCGACAAAACAUUUCUCUUCCUUAUGCUCUUCCUUGCGUUCUCAAGAUUGAAGGAUGCAUCCACAAGAGUCGCAUAGCAAAUUGCAACAGUUGGAUUUCCGUUUUUGAAUCUCGCAGAAGCUGUAAUGGCCAAUUUCGUCUUAGCCUCCAAGGCUCGAAUCGUGUUGUGUGUGGCUCGUCUCGGGUUUGGCCCUUUCACCAGCGGUCGACACAAGGUUGGGUAUGCGGUUUGAGCACAUAGGCUCGUGAAACGCGCUUCCGUGGCUUGGCUUGCCGCUAGGAGGAUCACGAUUGCGACGACAGUCGUGAGGUACAUCUGGAUUGUGUUGCGGCUCGCCAUUUUCGUAAAAAAGUUGGAAGGAAAUGAUCACGGGUAAUCGUCUAAUCAAAUUUCUCCAUCUAAAUAUAGAAACCCUUUUGUUGGUGUCUAAAUCAUUGGUAAUGGGCCUUUUCUGAUAUUUCUUUUUCUUUGGUAAUUAUAAGUUGAUUAGUUUGAGGUUUAACUUCUUUGUAGGAGAAAAUCUAUUCUCUGAAUAUUUUAUUUGUAUCGUGACGAUUGACAAACUAAGAUUUUAGACGGCAAUGUUAAAACUAAGAUUUUAGAUAGCAAUGUUAAUUAUGUCUCUCUACAAGCAUAAAUUACGUAUAUAUAAAUUAGUAUACAUAAAUUACAUGAAAAAAAUGAACUUGUAUUGUGACAUGCAAGAACUAACAUAAGUUAUAUGGUCAACACCAUAACCAUGCAUCAUUUAUUGUCUUUCGAUUUGACUUUGAUAUUUCUGGUAGACAUUAUGUCAUUCCUCAGAUAUGUGUUUUUCUAUCUGAUAACUGUUUUUUUUUUAUGUUUUAUGUCUACUUGACUGGCGAAAAAUUUAUGUGACAAUCAAUUGAAUUCGUUGGAUUCUACAUUUUCUUCGGCAAUUUCAUCUUAUAGGAGUAUUAUUUUGGUAAUGUUGGAAAAGAGAAAAAUAUUGGGUCAAAUCGAGAGACGUUAGUAAUAAUACACGACCAUAUAGGUACGAAAAAUCCAUUAUGUCUAACGUCAAGAACUUCUAGUUCAAAAAUAACUAACUCUUUGAAAAUAUCUAUUCUCAUCCAACGAAUAACGAAUGGAGGCGGAGAAGUAGAUCCACCUUAAAAAUUUAAGCUGACUCCUUUUAGUCCAUCAAUGGAGUAGUCAAUAUUAAAUUCAAAACCAAAUCAAUCCUAACUUUAAAAACCCUCACUAUAUUUUAACUCUAUAUAGAAAGACGAUUGCUAAUAUAGAUAGCAGUAAAAUACAUAUGAUCUUUUCUUCCAAAUCUUUCAUUUUAAAUGUUUUCGUUUUAUUCUUUUAUAUAUAUAUAUAUAUAUAUAUUGUUGAUCAAUUAUGAUGCAUACCAUCAUUUAAAAAAAAAACAUUUUUAGGACAUCUAUGGACUUGAAUAUUUAUCAAACUCAUUUGCUCAUAUUAAUAGAGAUAUCAACCAAUAGAUAUCAACUUGUUUAAAUCUUUUUUGGCAAGUUUACAUUUUAUAAGAUUAAGCUUUUUUGUAUAUAUAUAUAUAUAUAUAUAUAUAUAUAUGAAUAUUAUAUUAACAAAAAAGCUUAAUCUUAUAAAAUGUAAACUUGCCAAAAAAGAUUAAAACAAGUAUUACAAGCAAAUGUUGAGUGCAUAUCAACAAUAUCUACCAAAGUAUUGGAGGCGCGCAAUCUGUUUUUACCUUUAUCCAAGCAAAAAGAGAAGUCGAAGUUAUGACGAUGCAUGGCGUUAAACACAGCCUGGACUAACCAAGUGCCAUAUGUGGACACUAAAAUCGCAUCUCAGCAGGAGAUGCUCCCUUGUUUCCUCAAAAUUUGAAUAAAAACAACAAGAAGAUGCUAUAAUUGUAUAAGCAAUCCUCAAGGUGUCAGUCUCAUUCUUGUUGGCAUGCAUAGUUGGGAGAUCCACAUUGUAAAACUGUGCUUUGGAGGUUUUCUUUCGCUUGAUUUGCAAUAAAUCGGCCUUCGUCGUUUGACAGCAUGUAUCUUCCUCGUUGAGGUGACAUCGAUGAUAUUCAUCAAAUUGUUUAUCGCUUCAUUGAUUCCAAGAGCGUCAGCUUUUGUUGAUGUCGAUGGACCGAUUGUUAUUUGCUUUCAGUUUUUUUUUUGUUUUUUUUUUCUGCCAUGGGACCAAACAUAGGAUUUAUUUUCUUGUAACUCCUAAUCAUUUUCAUUUUCUAAUGAAAUAUUGACAUUUUUAGCAAAAAAAAAAACAUGCUUUGGAGUGGCUCUUUUAAAGAAACUUGAAGAAGACCAGUCUUUUUUGCUCUGUUUAGGAUGAGAAGAAACUUGAGUAGUAUAUAAGGUACAUUUUAAGGUCUCUUUACUCAUUGUAAAUUGGUUUUGAGUUGGAAGCCCAUGAAACUUAACAUUUCACUAUAUUGAGUAAGGAUCGACUUCAUAAUAGGUGAAUGUCUAGUCCCGAAUGAUUAUUUUGAGAAAUUAAGAUAUUUUUGAAAAUUUUAGAGUGUUUGAGGAUAUAUGAAAACGAAAAGUACGAGUAUUCCAUUCGAAUCCCUUACCCUAUUCCUUAUCCGUUUGAUGAAAAUAGAUAUUUUCAAAGAGUUAGUUAUUUUUGAACAAGAAGUUCUUGACGGUUACGAAACAUAAUGGGUUUUUUAUACCGAUAUGGUCGUGUAUUAUCGUUAGUAAUAAAAUCAUAUUUAUUUUUCAUAAACACGUUUAAUUAACAUCUUUUAAAUAAAAUCCCACAACAAUUAUUUUAAAAAGCACCAAUAAAAUAUUGUUCCUAUAUAAAAAGACCUAAACUAUUUGUUUACUAUAUAAAAGUUAGUCUUAUGUUGUUUUUGACAGUUUGCCCAAAAAAAAAAAUGUUGUUGUUGACCACUUUUAUAAUGAUUAUAUAUGGUGGUUUGGUCGAUAAAGAGCAAACAAACAACAAUAAGACUAAAAAUAUUUUUAGGGUUGCUGUGGCAGAGACAAAGUUAAGACAUCUAAUUAGGAAAUCGACAAUAUAAAAUUUUAUCUCAGGCGAACAAAAAUCAAACAUUACUAAUGGCCCUUAACUUCGAAAUAAUUACAAGAAAACAUACUGGUUUUUUUGACAUGCGUGUGUGACAAGUACUUUGAUUUUUAGGAGAGAGUAAUAACGAGCUGAGUGACAUUAAAUGCUCAAUAUAUGAACUGACCCUUACCAAACGAAAAACGUAUUAAUUGUUGUUUUCUCAAAUUAGAGCAAUUUUAACAUGCUACAAAUAUACAUUACACAAUUUUAACAUUUUUACAUAUGUAAACACAUAGAUAUAGCGUUAAAAAUAAUUUUAGUGUUAAGUUAUUGGAUCUAUAUAUACAUGUAAAUGUAUAUAGAAUGUUAUUAACAUGUGUAUACAUCUACUAUACAUUUUUGCAGCAGUUUUUGGGGUACCCAAAUCGGGUCAAAUUUGUUUAAUUUUGAUCCGGAAAUCUUCAAUCGGAUCUUUCUUUAAAUUUUGGCAAAAUUAAAAAACGAAAAUAAUUAAUAAAAUCUAAAAUAUAUAUACUUUCUCAACUAAUUACUAUAUUUAAACACUUUAUUUAUGGUAUAUUCUCCACGAUUUUUAUAGAUAAAGAAAUCAAAUAUGAUGAUUUAAUGCUAAUAUAACAAAUUUGCACUAAUUUCCUAAAACCUCUCUACCUAAUUUAAACAUAAAUAUAUGAUUCUUAUUUCACUUUUAUUUGAUCUUAUAUUUAUAUUAUUUUAAAUUAUUAUAAAAUAUAUAAAUAGUUAGUAAAUUUUAGUUUUUUUUUUUCUGCAUAUGUUACAAUUCAAAUUUUUUAAAACGGACAUAUAUUACUCAAUCGAUGAAUAAAAAUAUGUGUGUAAUCUAUAUUAACAAUUUUAAGAACAAAUUGAGCAUUUAAUCAUGUCGUUAUUUUAUUCAGACCCGAAAUUGAGUCAUUCGGAUCUUUCUUUAAUUUUUACAAUUAUCUAAAAUGGAACAGUAUAUCACGGGUGAAAUCCUAAUUAGUAUUUUCAUAUACAAUUAUAAAUUGUUUUUACGGGUUGGUCCAAAAACACACACUAAUUUAAAAAUAUACAUGGAAACUAUUUGAAAGCAACUUUCAAAUUAACUCGAAUUAUAUGACAUUUAAAUAAAAGUGUUAUUAAAAAAAUAACAAAAUGAUGUUUAAUUUCAUUUUAGAUUAUAUGGUUGGAUGGGUUUGGGUCAAUAUUAAUACGAGACAAUAUACCACAGGUGAAAUCCUAUAAAUAACAAAUCAAAAUACAAUUAUACAAUCUUAAACACUAAACAAAACAAAUACAACUUAAAAUUUUUUAUUUUAGAUACAACGCAUGUGACCCGCGGUAUACAACAAAAAAUAUUAUACACAAUAAAUUCAUCAAUUUAUAAAAAUAAAAAAAUCAAAUAAUUAACCCGCGGAGUACCGCGGGUCAUAUCCUAGUAUAAAUACGUAAAUAGAGCAUGGUUAACAUUUGUUGUACAUGUAUGCACACUACAAAGCCCAAACUGUAGAACAUACCAAGUGAGCAGUGCAUCCCAAUUGAACAUCGAAAUAUUAUAAAUUUUUUGGAUUUUCGAUUGAUUUUCCUUAAUUUUUGCCGAGUUGUCACCGGAUCUAUACUGGAUUUUUUUCGAAUUGUUAUUGACUUUUCACCGGAUUUUAUUGAAUUGUCAGAGUCACUGAAUCUUCAUCAUAUUUUGUCAAAUUGUCACCGGAACUUAUAUAGAUACUUCAUAUUAAGUUUUAAGUACUAAUUAUCUCUAUCUUUAAUUGGUUAUUCUCUCUUCAAAAAUAAUCGAGAAGACAGUUUCGAAUUAUCCAUGCAUGGCCUUGCAAAAUAAAUAUAGUUUAAUCGGGUAUUAUGAGAGAAUAGACCAAUAUAUACAUAAAUCUACAAUGUUUUUUUUUGGAUAUCCACAACAUAUUAAUGUGUUUGUCUAGGUAGUGAGACGGUGUUAAAAUGAAGAAGCGCAUAAGGUUAAUUUUGGCAAAAAAUGAGAAUUUGUCAUAAUUUAUAUAAAAACUAAUUUGCUUCGGAUCUAUUGUCUCUUUGUUAAUUAUCUCAAUAUUUUAUCUGGGAAACAAACAUGCAAAAAUAUGCUAUAAAAAACCCAACUAUUUUUUGAAUACAUGACAAAAUUUACUUUUUUGAAAAGAAAAAGAAAAAGAAAAAAAAAACUACAAAUUCGUGACAAGUUGAGAUUGAGUUUCCGACAAGUUUUGAAGAUUAGACGAGUGUUUGUGUUUAUAAGGUUUAGCUUGGAAGUUUGGUAUUAGAGAAGUUAAUUUAUUUUUCCUUAAAUUUUUCUUUUCUUUUUCCUAUAAUUUUACUUAUGUUGUACUUAUAUUUUUACUUAUAAAUCUCUAUUUAAUUGUUAAAAUAGUAUAUAUUGUCAUAACCUGAUUUGUUAUUUUUCUUACUCAGUAUCUCACUAUUUUAUUUUAAAAACCAUAAAUAUGUUUGGUGCAAAAGAUAUAUUAAUAUUGGAUAAAUAAGAAAUUUUUUCUUUUACUCAUAUAUAUAUAUAUGGGAAUUAUUGUCAUUUAUUUAACAGCUGUAGAUUAAAAUCCAUAUAACUAUUUUAAUUAAGAUUGAAAUGCCUUUGAUUUUUUUCCUUAUACAUAAUGUUAAUUAUUUAAUUAAAGAUAAAGUAAAAACAAAUUUUAAAAAUAUUAAGAUAAGAUCUCUGUGGGCCAAUCGAAUGGUCUUCUCUCUCGCUCUCACCUAAACUAUCAAGUAAUCUCUUAACUCUCUUCGUACUUGGGACUGAUUCGUUUCGUAGCUUAGUUUGUGUGGAAUAUAGGGUUUAAUUUUCGUUAGAAGCCAUGGUUAGAACCUCUAUCAAAACCAAUGGCUCGGGGUUAGAUAGGUUAAGCGAUUUACCAGAGCAUUUGUCGUGUAGGAUACUCUCUCAACUGUCCACCAAAGACUCCGUUCGCACGAGCGUUUUGUCUAAGCAUUGGAGAAACCUUUGGUUACAUGUUCCUGCUUUGGAUUUGGAUACCAUUGAUUUUCCAAAUAAUCUCGUCUUUAAGGAGUUCAUCGAUAGAUUUGUCGAAUUUGACAAAGAGUUAGACUUAAAGAGAUUCGAGUUAUUUUAUGAUGUUAAUCAUGCCCACUCUUUUGAUGAGUUUCUGUGGAUGAUCGAUGAUGUGGUUAAGCGUAGAGUUGGUCAUGUAACAGUUAUCAAUAACGUGUAUGUUGUUGAUGAAACGUUAGUUACCAUGCCUCUCUCGCUCUAUUCAUGUGCAACACUGGUGAAUUUGGAUCUCUCCUUUGUUGCCAUGAAUAAGCCACAGUCAGAAUUGGUUUCUUUACCUUGUGUAAAGACCAUGCAUCUAGAUGCAGUUAAGUUUAAUGGUGAUGAUUCCAUUCUGGAGACUCUUAUCUCAAGUUGUUCGGUGCUUAACGAUUUAACGGUGAUUGCGCAUCCUGGUGAUUAUGCCCAAGUUGUAUGUGUUCGCUCUCGAUCAUUAAAAAGCUUCACACUAGAGUCUCAGAGUCAGUAUCAAGACCCCAAUGUUGUAAUUGACUGUCCAAGGCUUGAGUAUAUGAGUGUUAUGGAAUACCAACCUGCAAGCAUUGUAGUACAUAGUAUUGGUCCCUAUGCAAAGGUGAACAUCGAUGUUAUGUUUGAAGUUGACUAUGAAGAUCCACUGGCAAUCACUAUGAUCCGCAGUUUUCUCAUCGCGAUAUCCAAAGCCCGUGAAAUGACCAUCUCAACUCGAACUUUAGAGGUACAUUUGAUUGUUUUAUUCCAAAACAUUAUGUUUAUACAUAUUUAUUCUUUCUUUAUUGCUACAUACACAGCUCAUCGACGGCUACCAUUUGAAGGUGAAAGAGUUGCCUAAGUUUUCCAACUUGUCUCGCCUAGAUGCCUUGUUAGACAAGUCUUUUUGGGAUCGUUUACCAGGUUUUCUUGGUUGUUGCAUCAAUCUGAAUUCAUUCGUCCUGGUACGUUUCUUUUGCAUAUGGUCAUGUAAUUACAUUAGGAUUUCUAUCCCAAGAUAAUAUUACAUAAUUUUUUUGUUUAUGUUAUUAGGAACUUGACGGCCAUUCAGAGAUAGAGGAGAUUAAAGUUUCACCACUGCUUCAAGAUGCCCUAUCCGCUCGUGGGUUUGUUCAGCUGAAGACACCACUUUCAGUCACAAAGACAUCAAGUGAAAUGAGGAAAAUAGCAGCAUAUUUUGUGAAGAAAAGUGGCUAAAAGUAAGCAAUAACAUAUUAUCCGGGUUUCUCUCAUAAAUCCAUUUUUAUUUCCAGUUAUCUACCAAUAUUACAUUUUAUGUAAGACUUUAUAAUUUUUUGUUGGACAUAUGACUUUAUGAUUCCUAGUUAUAUGGAUGUUUGUAAGGUAAAUUUCCCUUUUUGGUUGACAUGACUUUAUGGUUCCUAGGUAUACAGUUAUUUAUUGAAAUAGUGCUAGUCGUCAACUAUAUUGCAUCUAUGGUAAUCUCCGAAACCCUAGCUCUCUCUGCCUAGUAAACACUUUCCUUGCUCAAUACUCUUUCCAGAGUAAUUGUGUCUAGCUUCUUUUUCGGACUUGAUUAAAAUCACACGACUUAAAUUCAUGCUAACCCUUUGAUUUUAUUUUAUAAAGUUAAGUUAUAACAACCUUGCUGGUGAUAUUAGAAUUGGUCAGGAAGAUAUGAUUAGCAAAAUACAAGAUUCUUUUUUUUUUUUUUUGUGAUAUACCAAUAAUUCCCAAAAAGGAUGAGCUUAACACCAGCUUUUUUGCCACGUAUGGAUAAAUCUUUGGCAAUAUAUGGCUCGAUUGGAUUUUGAGUUUAAUGGCUUUCAUAGAUUACGCUAAAAUUCGAUUAUUUUCAAUAGGUUUAUAGGUUUGAUCAGUAACUUUAUUGUGUGCUUUAGAAAGAGUUAUGGUAAGGCAUACAUGAUAUAUCAUAUUGAGGUAGAAACACGAUCGCGAGACUUCAACAGAUCGAUGUUCAAGAAAAUACAAAGUACGAUAGUAUUAAAAAUACCUUCAACCAUUUAUAUAUCAUAUAAGUUAUGUGAUCAUCAGUCAAGUGGUGAAUCAAUUUUCUCAGUGGUUAUGUGUUUGGAGAAGUUAUAUCUAGCUGCUCUCCAAAAAGCCAUGGGAGUGCUCAAGGCUCAGUGACUGACUACCUAUUGGUUUACAAGACUUUAGAAAGCUAGCUAGUACAUGAUGUACUGUACAUCUGAAUCUGGAAAGGACAAAGAUACCUGAGAGGCGAGAGCAUUUCAGGGAUAUCAUCGGUCAAUUUUGGAAAAUUGAGACUACAAGAAACUAAAGUACUGUGGCUAUACUUAUACUUUUUAACCACGUACCCGUUUCCAAUUAAUUUUGUAAACCGUUUCCACAGUUCAGUAUAUCCGUUUAUGAUUCCAUGCAACCUAAAAAAUAUAUACUAUUUUAUAAUUGUGAUUUAUUGUUUAUUGAAUUACUGAUAAUGUAUUAUUUAAUUCUUUUCUUAAAAAGCUAAAUAUGUUAAGCACAAUAUAUAUCUUCUAUAUAUUAUAACAUAGUUUUUGGCUGAUGUGGCAAGUCCACAAAUUUUUUUUUUACCUUUUUUAAAAAAAAAUUCGACUAUCAUAUGUACCAAACACAUAUUUUCUUAUCCUUAUCAUCAUCCUCUUUAAACACUUACUCAAACACACCUUAUUUUAUUCUAAUAUAUCUAUAAUAUCCAAAUUUAGAUUUUUCAAAUUUCUCUAUUAUUACCAUAUAUGAUAUUUUGAAAUUCCUAUACACUUAAUGCUUUGAUAUUUUGAAAUGCACUUUAAAUUUGAAUAUAAAUUUAUCGGGUUGGUUAUAUAACGUACGUUAGUUUGUCCAUGUCACCAUGUAAAUUUAUUACUUCGUGUAGAUAUCAAUAAAAUACUUUAAUUUAUAUGUGUUAGUAUAUGUCGGGUUAUACUUCGUGUAGGUGACAAUCAUUUUUCCAACAUAUAACAUUUUUGCAUAUUUAUAGUUCUUCCAAAAACAAGAUAUAUCAAAAAGACAAAAAAAAAAUACAGUAAAAUCCUCUAAAUAUGGGACCAAAAUAUUUUAUUAAUUUAUACUGAUAAGCUGUUAAAAUUUCACAAAAAUAUGAGUUCAAACAAUUUGAUCUAAAUAAAAUAAAUGUUUUGAAAUUACAAAAGUUUUUAGUUUGGGACAUGAAAUUUUAAUAUUUAGAAGAAAAGACAAAUCAUUAGAAAAAUGAUUCACUAACAAAGACAAUGGUUGAAUUCACUUAUACAAAUUAUAUACAUAAGUGAUAUACAUAAACUUAAAAUUUUGAAUAGUAACCUCAGUUGUUGUAUUUGAGCCGCCAAUAUGACUAUCGAAAUAAAAAUGAUGCAUAUACAGAAUUUUAAAACUUGUAGAAAAUGUUGGCUAUUUUUAUGAAAUAUUUAUAGACGAUACUCUAUAUAAUUAUUAAUUUAUGUUAUUAAUAGACUAUAUAUUUAUAUAUGAAUUCUAAAAAAUAUUGUCUUAUUGAAUUUUGUUAAUUUUUAUAUUUGUUCGAUUUGGGACGUGUUUAUUAAUUUAUCGAGUAUUAAUUUAUAGAGAUUUUAGUUCUACUAAAGAAAUGUCAUCUUUCAAGGCAUUCAUAUAAUUUCAAAUCUUUCAUUACAUGGAGGACAAAUUUAUUGAUAAGGAAAUAUCUUAAAUGACUUUGUCAAACAAGAAAAUUAUAAAAUCAUAAUUUAUUUUUUUCUACAAAUAUACCUCAAGAUUUUUAUUGUUUUUUAUUUUCGUUCUUUUUAGUUGUUUUCUUAUAGACUUUCAUGAACAUUUUAUAUAAUUUGUAUACCAUCUAAAACCACAGACAAAGAGUUCGAGAUGAUGAAAUAUAUAAAAUGAAUUGGUUCAUCAAUUUCCAUCAUAACGAUCGUGGACAACGCAAUGUAUAUAGGUACACUUGGUAGCAACACAUUUACUUUCCAAACUGGAAAUGGGGGAUUAGAUAUGUUAUAUAUUGCACCUUAGGAUUAAAGUGGUUAAGAACUUUUGAUCAUUUGGUAAAAAAUUCUCUAUAUGCAUUGGAAAUUUUGAGUGAUACUCUACUCUCUUCUUAGGAGAAUCCGAUAUUUACUGAAAUGAAGUUAUUUUUGGAUAGAAAUGAAGACAACUUAACUAAAGUCUAAACAUUUUUCAUUGUAUCUAGUGCAGCACAGGUACAAUAUCAAGAUCGACACCACUCGGAAAUAACAUCUCCUUAUCUUUUUUUAUAUAUAUAUAUUUAUUGUCUUUUCACAGCAAAACAAAUUGUGGAGAAAAAAAUGUAAGAAAGUACAGUUAAACCUCUACAAAUUAAUAAAUAUUAAUUUAUAAAGAAUUCUGAUUUAGUUGUUAAAACUUUAAAAAAAUUAGUUAAAACAAUUUAAUCUAAAUAAACUUAAUGCUUGGAUGUUAAAAUUUUUGUAGUUUUCGACUUGAACAUUUAAUAUUUAGAAGAAAUUUUUUUUUUGAAAAUAAGUAACAAAUAUAAUAGAUGAACUCACAAAGACAAGCGAUAUACAUAAAUUUAAAUUUAUGAGUAAUAACUUCAAUUGUUGUAUUUGAACAACAUAUAUGACUAUUGAAAUUAAAUUAUGCAUAUUUAAAAUUUGAAACUUACAGAAUAUUUUGGCUAUUUUUAUUAAAAAUUUAUAGACGAUACAACAAUAACAUAGUUCAAAAACACAACAUAACAUAUUUUUUAUAUUAUAAAAGUUAGUGGUGAGAUCUAGUAAAAUUUCGUUUAAAAAAAAUACAAAAAAUAUUAUAUAUAUUUAUUUAUGUAUGUGUGUGUGUAAACUUACAUUACUAGUAAUUUAUGUUAUUAAGAAGACUAUAUAUUAAAAAUAAUUAUCUUAUUAUUAUAUCAAUUUUGUUCAUUUUUACACUAUCCCGAUUUGUUUAUUUAUAUCAUAUUAAAAAAUAAUUAUCUUAUUAUUUAUCUUAUUAUUUAUAUCAAAUGGUGUGUCUUAGUCUCUCAUAUAUUUCUUGGGAGACUAAGACACACCAUUAGAGAAAUAAGUAGACCAACUAACCUAAAAAGAUUAUUGAUUAAUGUGGCCUCUAAAAUUCUUAUACAAAAUGUUGCCUAGGACACUCGCCCUUUUUCCAUAGUGGUGGUAAUCACGGCUCUGCGUCAGCUCGUUUAGGUUGGUCCAUUACAUACCAACCGAUCAGAUCGGUUCAUUAAUAAAGUUCUCACUUAGACAUAUGGUGGUCCGAGGUUAUCCGGUAUUUUAGGAUGUGAGAUACGACACAUAGCUGCAUAUAAUGUUUUCUCAAGAGGAACCAUAUUAAUAAUGGUUAGAAAAAGUUCUUGAAAGGUGAUGACUUGCAGAUCAAGUAAGCUUAAUAUCCUUUGUAACAUCUCUAAACCUCGUUUUGUUAUCCUUUAUGGUGAAGAUAUCAUCUGUUCAAACAAACUCAAGCUAAGUAGUUGUAAUUUUGAUUAAUUUCAAACACUAUCAGUCUUUCAUCGGAUUGAAUAUUAAUGUGUUUGGAAAAAGCAAAACAUUUGAUGAUCGGAUCACCUUAUCUAGUUAUAUUAUAUGAUAUUUUUCUAUAAAAACAACAAAUUAUGAAUACUGAUAUGAAAUCAUCAAUGACGUUAAAGUUUAUAGAAUUUAUAUAAUCUUUUUGUUCAAAUGAAGACUACAAUUUUGUUUUGUCCUCUUUAAUUUUUUUCACUAACAAAAAAACUCUAGUAACAUUAAUUGCUUUAUCUUCCACUCCACUCCACUCCACUCCUAUAAAUCCCACUCAAAUCUGCUUCUGAUUUCAUAAAAAUACAUUUUCUUUGUAUCUUUUUUUCUUAAUCUUCCGAAGAUUGAUUCAUCAAUGGCAGAGGAAGCUUGUAAAGUGCGUAGGAUGAAGUUAGGGAGCCAAGGUCUUGAAGUUUCGGCUCAGGGACUUGGUUGCAGGGCCGGCCCAGACCUAAAGCCCAGCAAGCAGAUGCUUUAGGCAGCAAAUCUUAUAUGUAUUUUAAAAGGCAUUAAAAUUAUAAAAGUGUCUUGUAGUCUAGUGGUAUUUAGGACGUCUAAAGGUAGUUGGGCGUGGGUUCGAUCCUUGGCAACCGAAGAUUUUAAUAUUUUUUUAUUUUUAGUUAUUGUAAAUGGGCAUCAAAUUUUGUUGGGCUUUAGGCAUCAUGAAUCUUUGGGCCGGCCCUGCUUGGUUGCAUGGGUCUCUCCGCCUUCUACGGUGCUCCGACACCUGAGACUAACGCCGUGGCUCUCCUCCGUCACGCCAUUAACGCCGGCGUUACAUUCUUGGAUACUUCCGACAUCUACGGUCCCGAGACAAACGAGCUGCUUCUUGGAAAGGUAACAAAUUUGGUGACUGAUGACUGCUCGUGGAUUUUGUUUUUGGAAUUAGGGUUUUAGGCUGUGAUCUAGGGUUUAGGGUUUUAGGCUUUUAGGGUUCUGGUCAAUCAUCAAGUGCUGGAUCUGUUUUCUCUUUGUGGUGGCAGGCUUUGAAAGAUGGGUUGAGGGAUAAAGUGGAAUUAGCGACAAAAUUUGGGAUCACUGCUUCUGAAGAUGGAAAAUUUGGUUUCAGGGGAGAUCCAGAGUAUGUGAGUGCUUGUGAAGCAAGUUUAAGGCGUCUUGGUGUUACCUCCAUUGAUCUUUAUUACCAGCAUCGAAUUAAUACCACUCUGCCCAUCGAAAUCACGGUAUGGCUUCUUGCUUUUAAUCUGUUUCAAUGUGUUAAAUGUUACUCAUAGAGAGCCAAAUAUGUGAUGAGUAAUAAGUAUUUUUAAGGAAACAACUAGGGGUAGUUAGAGAUAUGCAUGUAGUACUCUGUUUCUUGUUGCUUUAUAAUUUUUUGUUUGUUUUUGUUUUUGUUUUAGUUGUUUUUGUUCAAAGAUUGGAGAGCUGAAGAAACUAGUGGAAGAAGGGAAAAUAAACUAUAUAGGUUUGUCAGAAGCUUCAGCUUCAACUAUCAGAAGAGCACACGCUGUUCAUCCGAUAACCGCUGUGCAAAUAGAAUGGUCUUUAUGGUCGAGAGACGUGGAAGAAGAUAUCAUUCCAACCUGCAGGUGUGAGGAAUCAAAAUUAGCCAUAAGUUUCUUUGUCAACAUGUUUAAUUCAUAACAUGUCUCUUUUGAUAUCUCUAGGGAACUUGGGAUUGGAAUUGUAGCUUAUAGCCCUCUAGGAAGAAAAAAAGCUUGUUCGCAUCUGGACCCAAGCUUGUUGAGAAUCUGGAGCAAGAUGAUUAUCGAAAGGCAAGUACAUGAUUGAUUCAGUUCUCUAUUUCCGUAAACAGACAUUGUACAUAAGGAGCAUAUUUCAAGAUUUGGAGUCAUCUCAUGCUUCUUGAUAUUACUCUGUCACAGGGUCUACCAAGAUUCCAACAGGAGAAUCUAGACAACAACAAGAUUCUCUACGAGAAAGUCCAAGAGAUGGCGACAAAGAAAAGCUGCACUCCUGCACAACUAGCUCUAGCAUGGGUUCACCACCAAGGAGAUGAUGUUUGUCCUAUUCCAGGAACCUCCAAGAUCCAAAACCUCAACCAGAACAUUGGAGCUUUAUCAGUGAAGCUCACUCCUGAAGAGAUGGUUGAGCUUGAAGCCAUUGCUCGACCGGAUUUCGUGAAAGGGGAACGAUAUGACAACAACAUGGUUACUUACAAAGACUCAGAGACUCCACCAUUGUCUUCUUGGAAAGAAAAAUAAAAUACAUGUUUGGAAACUGUUUUGAGGGUAUACCGCAUUGGCCAAAUCGAGGUAAUAUUGUGCUGAAGAUGUGUCUGUGUGAAAUAAGUUAAGUAUAUGGGUGUGCGAGUUUGCAAUAAGAAAGAACCAAUGCCUUAGAAAGAAUAAAGGUUUUGUACAAAGCAAUGCAUUAUGCUUUCAAGAAUAAAAUAUGCAUAAUGCAUUAUGAAGAUUCCAUUACUUUAUCUUGAACGGGGUGAGAGAAAAAGUGGUUGCAACUUGCAAGUUCCACAAGUUAAUAAUUGAUUGAGAAAGAAAGUGAAUAGAUGUUAGACUAUAUCAAAAAUGAAUUUGACUUAUGAAGAUUCCAUUACUUUAUUGGUUAACAAAUUCAAUUUUGUUUUCGUUAAGACAGGAAAAAACUGCACCAAUUAGACAAAAGCGACACGGCUUUUUCUUGUUCAUCAUCACACCAACCAAACUCCACUCAAAUUCACAGCUCUACCUAGACAAGUCAAUAGACAAAGAGAGAGAGAGAGUUGUGACAAGAGAUUCAUGGCGGAACCUUGCCGAGUGAGAAGGAUGAAGCUAGGAAGCCAAGGCCUUGAGGUAUCGGCGCAAGGCCUUGGUUGCAUGGGCCUCUCUGCUUUCUACGGUGCUCCCAAGCCGGAAACCGAAGCCAUCGCUCUCAUCCACCACGCUAUUCACUCCGGUGUCACUUUCCUUGAUACCUCUGACAUUUACGGUCCUGAAACCAACGAGGUUCUUCUCAGCAAGGUUCGAUUUUUGAUCAUUCCCCAUCUUCGAUUUCAUAUUGAUAUUGUUUAAUAGAGGAACUGGCCUUGAUUCGUUGAGCUUCAUAGCUGUAGAAAGGAUUCCGAUGUUGCAAGUUUGGAUUUUUGUUGAAAAUUUGGAUUUUUGUCAGGCUCUGAAGGAUGGAGUGAGAGAAAAAGUGGAACUUGCCACCAAAUAUGGAAUCAGGUAUGCAGAGGGGAAAGUAGAGUUUAACGGAGAUCCUGCGUAUGUAAGAGCUGCGUGUGAGGCAAGUUUAAAGAGGCUAGAUGUUACCUGCAUUGAUCUCUAUUAUCAGCAUCGAAUUGAUACUCGUGUCCCUAUCGAAAUCACUGUAAGUAAGCCCUCUCCUUUUCAAUCUUCCUUGAUGGUUUUGCAACUUUCAAAUGAAAUGGAAGUUAUGUACUUCAUCUCCGUGGCUAGGGACAUGUUGGGGCUAAUAUAGAGUUGAAGAAUUUAGAUUUCAGAACCUGUAAAAUGAUCUGGUGAAAUGAUCUUGAACUGAGCGGUUUGGAGGCUUUCUCAUCUAUCAUCACCUGUAAAUAGUCCAUCUUGCGAGGAUAGGAUUGUCACUUAGUCCUUCCAAUGUGGGAUCUUAUCAUCCCCCUAAGAAUGUUUCAUUUGAAUAGACUCCUCCAUUAGGUUUGACACUGAGCUCUAAUUGGGUUGCCACACUUGAUGACCUUUAUAGAAAGCCGGCACCUUUUGCUGAACUUAACAAUCUCUUUUGUCUGUCAAUUUCAAAGAUAGGAGAGCUGAAGAAGCUAGUUGAAGAAGGUAAAAUAAAGUAUAUCGGUUUGUCAGAAGCUUCAGCUUCAACUAUUAGAAGAGCACAUGCUGUUCACCCGAUAACCGCUCUGCAAAUUGAAUGGUCCUUAUGGUCGAGAGAUGUGGAAGAAGAUAUCAUUCCAACUUGCAGGUAUCCAGAUUUCAUUUAAUCCUCCUUUCUUGAUGCACUAUCUAUCAAGUACGUAACAUCUUCUCUCUCUUUCUUCAGGGAACUUGGAAUUGGAAUUGUUGCUUACAGUCCUCUGGGACGAGGUUUCUUUGCAUCAGGACCCAACCUUGUUGAGAACCUAGACAAUAAUGACGUCAGAAAGGCAAGUACACAGCCUUUUUAUGACUUGUUUGAUUGAUGAACUGUUGGUAAUCAACUCACUGUUUAUCUGCUCAACUCUGUUUCUUAUUGCAGACUCUACCAAGAUUCCAACAGGAAAACUUAGUUCACAACAAGAUUCUCUUUGAGAAAGUUUCUGCAAUGUCGGAGAAGAAAGGGUGCACUCCCGCACAACUAGCCCUUGCAUGGGUUCAUCACCAGGGAGAUGAUGUUUGCCCCAUCCCAGGAACCACUAAGAUUGAAAACCUUAACCAGAACAUUGGAGCUUUAUCAGUGAAACUUACUCCCGAAGAGAUGUCUGAGCUCGAGUCCCUUGCCCAACCAGAGUCUGUGAAAGGAGAAAGAUCCAUUAGCAUCCUGACCACGUUCAAGAACUCUGAGACUCCACCAUUAUCUUCUUGGAAAGCCGCUUAAAAUUGUCCGAGUUUCUCUGGUUGUUGUGGGGUUCAUGACACUGAAGUGGUCUAACUUAUAUCAGCCAGAUCAAGGUAAUAAAUGUGUUAAUGCCUUGAAGAAUAAAUAAUUUAUAGAGUUCCCCAGGUGAAAACUUCAAUUUACAUUUCAUACAUUGUAACCAAACUCUAUAAACAAAUAUAUGUUCUGAUACAAACUUAAAUAACGUUUACACCAAAAAUCUUACCAAGCUAUCUAUAUCGUCACCCAACUCUAUGAAGGAUAUGUGCGAUGAAAAUGUCUCGGUUCCAUCUCUUUUGUUCUUGUUUUUUUCUUCUGCAUUUCCCCCACUUCUCCUUUUUGAUUUUCAUAAUUAGUUUUGCAGAUAAAGAUUUCCAUAAUAUUCAACAAAAAAGUAUAAUUUUCAUAAAGCUAAGAAAAAGUAUUUAUUUAAAAAAUUAACUCACAGGUCAUUAGAUUUACUUCAAUUUAAUAGAGAGGUAAAGUGUUUAACUUAGACUCCGAUGAGUAACAUUAAUUACAUAAUUGCAUAAAAUUAUCACAUAAAUUGCAAAUUGAAAACUCGCAGAAAUUGUAGAAUGAAAAUUUGUGCUGAUUCAAUACAUUUGUAUACCCAUUUACUAGAUUUUAACCCGCGGUACACCGCGGGAUGAUUUAAUUUUAAAGUUAGUAUAAAAAUAUUUUGUAAAUUGUAUCUCCUUAUAACAUAUUUAUUUAUAUUAUAGUUUACAAUUGUUAUUAAGUAACGGUAUACCACGAGUCCACGAGAUAAUUAUUAAUGAACUGAGGAUUUAACCCGUAUUAAAGCGGUAUAUAAAUAUUGAUUCAAAUUCGUCCGCCAUAUAAAUCAUUUCCGAAAUAUAACCCGUUCCGUAAUUUCUUAACCCGUCCUGUGAUUUGUAUUAAAAAAAAUAAGGAUUAAAUCCGUAUUGAAGCGGCGGAUUAAUGAUAUUUUAAUCUUUUUAUUAUUGUUGAUUCAAAAACCCGUCCCGCCAAACCCAUCCCGCCAAAAAACUCAUUUAUUUUAUUAAUGUUCUUAUUUAUGAUAUGAUUCUGAAUCAUUGUCUAAAUAUUUUAAUCGAUAUAGAACGUUGAACACACAUUUUCGUCAAUUGGAUAAUAUAUGUCCGUUUUUAAAAUUUCGAAUCACAGUAUAUGCAGAAAAAAAAUUGAUUUUUUUUUUACUUUAUGUAUUAUAUGAUGAUUCAAAACAGUUAAAAACAAAUCAAACAAAGGUGAUAGGAGAAUCAUAAUUAUAAAUCUUAAUCAAAUCUUCUAAAAAUCUAAAUUAUUAAAUAUGGAAUAUCCAGUGUAUGAGUUGGGUUAAAUAUAACCCGACCCAACAAAUUUUUUGUGAAGGAAUUUUUAAAAUGGGUCGGAUAUCCGAUAUACCCGAAAGAUUUUUUACCCACCCGUCACAAAAAGUGCUGCGAUUAUACUAGUAUAGAUUUGCAGAAUGAGUUAUAGGCGAAAAAGGCAAAUUUGCGUUUUGUCAAACAUCGUAGAUAAUUUUUUUUUAUUAGUAAACUUUUUGCAUAGUCGCAUUAGAAAAUGUCAUUCAAUUUAAUAAACUUAUAAAAAAUAUAAUUGUUGUUAAAAUAUUAUAACAACAAAAAUAAAAAUAAACCUCUUCAUAAACAUUAUUAAUAGAUUUUAAAUUUGAAUUAACAAGAAAAAAAAAUUGAAGUUUAUAGUUUCUCACAAGUGAAGAAGACUGUUAAGAGUAUAUUUGGUUAAAAGGAGUUUGACUUGUGAAAAUUCCAUUACUUUUUUUGGUUAACAAUUUCAAUUUUGUUUUCGUAAAGAGGAAAAAAAACUGCACCAACCAGACAAAAGCGACACACGGCUUUUCUCUUCAUCAUCAUUCAUCAUUCACCAACCCACCACCUCCAACAACAAUAACUCCACUCAAAAUUCACAGCUCUACAAGAGUCACCUAGACAAGUCAAGAGACAGAGAAAGUUCUGACUUCUGACAGAGAUUCAUGGCGGAAGCUUGCGGAGUGAGAAGGAUGAAGCUGGGAAGCCAAGGCCUUGAGGUAUCGGCGCAAGGCCUCGGUUGCAUGGGCCUCUCUGCUUUCUACGGUGCUCCCAAGCCGGAAACUGACGCCAUCGCUCUCAUCCACCACGCUAUUCACUCCGGUGUCACUUUCCUUGACACCUCUGACAUCUAUGGUCCUGAAACCAACGAGGUUCUCCUCGGAAAGGUUCGAUUUUUAUGAUUCCCGAUCUUCGAUUUGAUCUUCGGUUUUAAAAUUUUGUUCUCUUUUGGGCAACAAAGAACGAUUUAGAGAUGGGAAUUGGCCUUUGAUUUCUUUGAGCUUCAUAGCUGUAGAAUUGAUUUCAAAGUUUGGAUUUUUUUCAGGCUCUGAAAGAUGGAGUUAGAGAAAAAGUGGAACUUGCAACCAAAUUUGGGAUCAGUUAUGCAGAGGGAAAGAGAGAGGUGAGAGGAGAUCCUGAGUAUGUAAGGGCUGCUUGUGAGGCUAGUUUAAAGAGGCUAGAUAUUGCCUGUAUUGAUCUUUAUUAUCAGCACCGUGUCGAUACUCGUGUUCCUAUCGAAAUCACUGUAAGCUUCCUCUUGCAAAUCCUCCUUCAUGCUAUAGUUUCAAAGUUUACAAUUUGGUUAGUCUUAGUCUUUUACUCUUGUCCCUACCGAAAUCACUGUAAGCCCUCUUGCCAAUCCUACUUAAUGGAUUUGAAACUUUCAAAUGAAAUGGAAGUUAUAUAGUUCACUACUUCAAGAGAAAUCUCAGAGAGCUUCACAUCUUGGCUUGGUUUAUCGGACUAAUAGGGACAAAGAAAAUAGAUUGGAGAUGAUGUUUUCUGCUUAGGUUAUUACUCUUUCGAAGUGGCUAGCUUAUUCACAAAGAACAAUGUCUGGUGUAAUGAUCUUUAACUGAGAGAUUUUGAGGCUUUCUUAUCUACUUUCACCUAUAAGUACUCUCCUAAGCCAGCUUGUGAAGAUAGGGUGCCCUUUGGACCUAUUAGCCAUUCACUUUUUCCUCUCCUUUCCAAUGUGGUAUGUUUGGUGAUAAUUAGUCCCUCAGUACCAUCUCCUCUAAGGAUUUUUCGUAUGAAUAGACUCUGUUAGGGUCGGUUCUGAGCUCUACUUCCUGACCUUCAUAGAAAGCCGAAAUCUUUUCCUGAACUUAACCAUUUUUUUGUCUGUCAAUUCCAAGAUGGGAGAACUGAAGAAGCUGGUUGAAGAGGGUAAAAUAAAGUACAUUGGUUUGUCUGAAGCCUCUGCUUCAACUAUCAGAAGAGCGCAUGCUGUUCACCCAAUUACUGCUGUGCAGUUAGAAUGGUCCUUGUGGACGAGAGAUGUGGAAGAAGAAAUCAUUCCGACCUGCAGGUAUUCAGGUUUCAUCCUACUUUCCUGGUGCAAUAUCUAUCAAUCAUGCAAAUUCAUAUUCUCUUUCCUUCUUCAGGGAACUUGGGAUUGGGAUUGUUGCUUACAGUCCUCUAGGACGAGGUUUCUUCGCAUCUGGACCCAAGCUUGUUGAGAACCUAGAAAAGGAUGACUUCAGAAAGGCAAGUACAUAGUCUUUGUGUAUGACUUGUUUGAUUGAUGAACCUUACAUAACCUGUGGAUAAAUCAAAUGACUUUAUACAAACUCAAUUAUUGCAGGCUCUACCAAGAUUCCUAGAGAAAAACUUAGACCACAACAAGAUUGUUUAUGAGAAGGUUUGUGCAAUCUCGGAAAAGAAAGGAUGCACUCCUGCACAGUUAGCUCUGGCAUGGGUUCACCACCAGGGAGAUGAUGUUUGUCCCAUCCCAGGAACCACUAAGAUCGAAAACCUCAACCAGAACAUUGGAGCUUUAUCAGUGAAACUCACUCCCGAAGAGAUGACUGAGCUUGAGGCCAUUGCCCAACCAGGUUUUGUGAAAGGGGAAAGAUACAGUAGCAUGAUACCCACUUUCAAAAACUCUGAGACACCGCCAUUGUCUUCUUGGAAAGCUGCUUAAAAUCGUCUGAGUUUGUCUGGUUGUUGUGGGGUUCAUGACACUGAAGUGGUCUAACUUAUGUCAGUCAGAUCAAGGUAAUAAAUGUGUUAAUGCCGUGAAGAAUAAAUAAUGUAUAGAGUUCCCCCAAGUGAAAACUUCAAUUUACAUUUUCAUACAUUGUAACCAAACUCUAAAAAAUAAGUAGUUAUUUUCACUUGAAGUUAUUUUCACUUGAAGUUAUUUUCGGUUUGGUUUAAUUAAACCAGGAUUCGGGUGUUAUUUUCGGUCCAACACUUAAACAAGCGAAGCGACCCAAUUGGUUGGUUAAUCAUCAUCUUCAUCGAGUCACACCCUAGUUUGCCACUAAACCGAAAAAAUGAAUCUGGCCUGCCAUUUUAUGAUCUAUAUGCCACUAUAUAUAUGUGUUAUCUCCAUUUUACCCUUAAUGAAUUAUUCCUUAUUUAAUUUUUAAAAAGCAAAAGAGAAAAUAAAAAAAAAAACAAAACUCUCAGUAUGUGGGUCCCAAAAAACGUUUAGCGUAUGAUUUUUUUUUAAUGUUGUAUUUACUCGAUAUAUGGGUCCUACUAAAAAGUUUUUUUUUUUUUUUUUUCGGCAGAAUAAUACUCAUAGUUGUCCAGUUGUACUAUCAUAAUCAUAGUUGAACUUUCCACAGUUUUCAUAAUUUGCAGUUGGACGAGACUGUAAAUUAUUUUGCAUUACCAAAGUUUUCAUAAUGGAACAUUGGUGAAAACUACAUUUUCACUUUUUUUACUUCAUAUAUGGUGAUUAUAUACUAAGUAUUCCUUAUAGUAGAAAGGAUGUUUUAUGUGAAAACAACAUUAUUUCUUAGAAGUUAUUAAUUGUAUUGAUCCGAAAUAGUUUGUUUAUAUUUUGGGGAAUUUAAUAUAUAAUUUUACGUUUAUAAUAAAUCAAAUUAUUAUAAGUUAUAAAUUAGGAUUCUAUAAAAAAAUUCUCCAAAAAAAUCUUCAAAUAUAUAUAAACUAUUUUAAAUCAAUACAACCAUAAUUUAUAAAUUUUGUAGCAAGCUUUGUUUUUUUUUUUGUUUUUUCACAUAAAACACUCCUUCUAGUAUAAGGAAGACUUAGUACAUGAUCACCUCGUAUGAAGCAAAAGAGGUAAAAACCAAAUUUUCCUGAACAUUGUAUUAUGAAAACCUCGUAUAUGCUAAUUAAUAGUGAACAAUCAUGUGUCCAACUACUAAUUAAUAAUUUAUACAAUAGUUCAACUGAAAAUACGAAAAAUUCGCCAAAGUCCAACUAUGAAUAUGAGAGUACAACUGGACAACUAUGACUAUAUCCAGCCGCCAAAUCCAAACGUGCAUUUUACUCAGGCCCACAACUGUGCACUUUAGUCGGACCUACAACUGUGCAUUUUACGACACGUAGGAUGAUUUUAAAACAUUUUAUAUUGAAACAUUUUAUAUUUUUUUUAUUUUUUUUUUCUACUUUUCUUCUUUCUCAGUUUAUCUAGUUGGACCGAAUAAUUAGAUCUCAGUUGUACCUAAUAAUUGCAGUUGUACCAAAAUAUCAUCAAAGUACAUAAACAAAAGAUAUAGUUUACCAUAUAUAAACAUCAGUUUCGUUGGAUCUGUAGUUUUCAGUUUCAGUGUCCGCUUCAUCUUCUUUCUCUCAAGUAGUGGGUUAUUGGAUUUGGGUCGAAUUAUUUUGGUUGGGUCUGUAGUUUCCAAUCAUCUAAAAGGUACAUUUCCAUCGCUUUUGAUUUUUUAAAAAAUGGUAAAUAAAAUUACAAAGAAGACGGUGGCAUUCUAGCAUUUUUUUCCGGAGAAAGUGGCUUUCUAGCCAUUGUUUCAUCUUCAUCAGAGAUCAACCCAACUUCACUCAAUGCUGAUGAUGCAGUCUCAGCUCUUAAAAAGCAUAAAUCAAAGUGAAAGAAACCAUUACCACCGUGGGUCGUUCGAUUGCAACUAAAUAAUGUGAAUCAUUUCCAGUUCAACAAUGGAAGGUCUUCGAGAAUCUGAGCAUCUCUUCGUCAAUAAGGACCUCGUCGUGCGUCUCUCUCUCUCUCUAUUCAUCUAUAUAUUUCCUUAUCUGUGUUGCAGACAUUAAACGAUAGAUAAAGGAAAUGAUGUCAUGUGAUCAUCUCAAUUUAGGAUUUUCCUGGUUUAUGUCUGCUACACUAAACCCUAAAUGAUCGAUCCUCUUCAGUAGUAGCUUAAGAAUCUCCAUGGUCAAAAAGGCUUCUUUAUUUUCUCUCACUAAUAUCAUUGUUGCUUUUUUUUUAUGGCUGGAUUAGGAAUUUUAGUUAUCAAUGGAGCAAUUGGCACAAACCCUUUUUCUGAUUUUAGUCUUUUUCACAUGACAGGAUGAUUAUGUCGAAAUUUCCGGUAAAGAUGAUACAUCAGAAAGUUCCAAUGUCAAAAGGAAAGUUGAAAGUCUCUUCUGUGUUAUGAGAAAGAGAACUUGUAGGCACAACUCUGUCGAUGAUGAUGAUAUGUUUCCGGAUUUAGAUAAUAAUGCAGAGAAAGGUGAUGGUGAUGAGGAUAUACGAAAUUGUCUGAGACCUGAAAGUGACUUCUGGUUUGAAAAUCUUACGGAUAGUCCUUAUGAUCCAUUGGAUGAAGGUACCAUUGUAGACGACAGUGGCAGUGACACAAACAUAUCUGAAUCUUCAGAAUUUGAUGUUAUAUCGGAACAUGUUCUAGAAGAAAAUGAUUUGGUAACGGGAUCGAAAUCUUUGGCUAUAUGGUCCAGUGAGGAUAAGGGAGCUCUGGUUAGUAAAUGGUCUUUAGAAACUCGGAAUUCUAUCUUGUUGUUAUCUCCUGAUGAGCAUGGUGUAAGGUCUAAAGAAGAUGAGGUGUUAUCAUCUGUUUCUGCAUCCACAAAGAAAUUACAGCAUAUCAUUGAUCCCCAAAUUAUCUCUGGACAUAGUAAUGACAUCUCUCUCUUCCAUAUAGAACGGAAAAAAGAUCGAAUAUUCUGCAUCACUGGGCAUUGUGAAGAUAUAUUGAGGUGCAGUGUCAACAAAGAAGAUUCAGAAAUCCCAUGCAAUUUUGAUAUCUUCAAGAAUGAUGGCGACAAAUCAUCUGCAAAUGAAGUUAGAUGUGGAGAUGUCAUCAACAUGCAGGGGUCUAUGGAGAUAAUGUGCAUUAAUGAUGAGCUUACACUGUGGAAUAAAGACAAUGAACCAAUACCGAUCAGCAUUGUUCCUCCUGAUGGUUGGGAAAGCGUAUUGCUAGAAACAUGUUCACUUCAUCAGAUAGACAGAUGUAUAAAUGAAUACAAUGUUCGUGAUGAUAACAUUGGCCUUGAAAUAUCUCCAAUACCUUUAACAAAAACUCUGGAAAGACCUAGUAGGCCAUUGUCAGUUUGUGGCUCUAUAGCUGCAGUCAGAAACUUACCUCUAAUGGAAGAUAGCUCAGGUGCUUGUAGUUCUUUGGAUGAACAAGUAUAUGCAAAUGCUAAUAGCUCUGAGGACAGGGACGCAGAACUUGCUCAAACCCCAUCAACUCUAUAUCAGGAAGAAGUGGAUGGAGAAGAUGAGAUUGACAUUGAUGCAAUGGUAAACCCUGAUUACUCUAUACACAAUCGUGUCACAAAUUAUCAUUCAAUGUGUUUUCUGAUCUCUGAUAUCACAUGAAAACAUCUCCAGAUCCGCAAAUUGAAUCUAGUCCCAGAUGAUUCAGAUUCAUGCUUCAACAGGGAAGGUAAACCGUAUGGCUUAUGAUGUCCAAUCAAUCAUGUAACUAAUUCACACUGUUGCAUCCAAAGAGAAUGUAAAAAAAAAAAACAGUUAUGUCUCUCUCAAACUAUAGUUGUCUCAAUUAUGGUUCGCUUCAUGAUACCUAGAAUGGAACAUAUAUAAGCACCCAAGACACGCCUUAAUUGGAUUGGAACACUGCACAAGAACUUCAUUGCAAAGAGCAAAUAUGUUUCAUGGGGCAAUUGCCAUCCUGCAUUGUCGUGAUUCAAAGCAUUUUGUCAGAAAACGCGAGGUAUGUUAGACAAAACAUUUUCUUCUGUCUUGAUGUUUUCAUGUCGUCUCAAGUCCUCUUAGUUACAUGGCAGAAGAUCAUUUAUUUGUCAUAGGUAAUUAUUGGGAGAUCAUCUGAUGGCCUGAAUGUUGACAUUGACUUGAGUAAAUAUAAUUAUGGGAGUAAGAUAUCUCGGCGUCAGGUGAUCCUCUUUCCCUUUCCCAAAUUAAAAUUAGUUCACUAGUUAAGUUCUUAAUUACCAUCUUGCUAAUGUGCUAUAUUUUCUAUCUCUAUAUUAAGGCAUUGGUUAAGCUAGAGAACAACGAAUCAUUCUCUCUAAAGAACCUUGGAAAGCGACAUAUUCUUGUAAAUGGAGAAAAACUCGAUACAGGACAGAUUGCAACCCUCACAUCGUGUAGUUCAAUCGAUGUAAGUCCGAGCUUAUGCUUUGCACUAGUGUGUUUAUGCAUCUUUCUUUAACUAGAACGCCCAAAUUUUGCAGAUUAGAGGAGUAACCUUUGUGUUCAAGAUUAACAAAGAAGCCGUGAGACAAUUCUUGAAGAACAACACACGAAGAAAGACCGAGGAAGACACCAAAUUCAGAUGGUGCGAAUAGAUUCUGUUAAAUUCUCUUUUGCUCUACCACUCUCUGCAUAGUCUUAAUGACCCAUCCACAUGAUUUAAAUGUCCAACCUGACUUAGGGUUAGGAGUUUAGACACCUAAUGCCAAUGAAUGAAUGAUCCCAUCAUAUCUGUGUUAAUGCCUUGAAGAAUAAACUUUGUAUAGAGUUUCCCAAGUGAGAACUUCAAUUAACAUUUCGUACAUUUUGACCAAUCUCUAUUAGGAAGAUUUGUUCUGUAACUCUUUCAAGCUAAAACCUUACCGUAACAAAAGCUCCCUGUUCAUCCAACUCUAUGAAAGAUCUGCUGCGACGUAUCGGUUCAAUCUCUGUUCUUGAUUUCUUCUUCCGCAUUUUCCACUUCUUCCCAAUCGAUUUUCCUGUAACCAUGUUUCCUCUGUCAGCUUCUAUUCAAUUACUUAUGCUUCUUCUAUUACCAAUUUAGAGUCUCAACAGUGAAGAUCAGCUUCUUCUCUAAUCUCUAUCAACUUCUACUCAAUAACUUGUGCUUCUCUUACCAGUUUUUAGAGUCUCAGUGGUAGUAGUUAAUCCAUCAUCUUAUUUUCCGUUUGAUUAAACUUGAUUGGUAUACUUUGGUUUAAGAGUGUUGGUUUAGUUAAACCAGGAUUUGAGUUCAAUCAUCAUCAUCAUCAUCAUCAUCAUCAUCAGUCAAAUCAAAACUCUACGAGAGAGAGAGAGAGACUGAGAAAUUCAUGGCGGAAGCUUGCAGAGUGCGGAGGAUGAAGCUAGGAAGCCAAGGCCUCGAGGUAUCGGCGCAAGGCCUUGGUUGCAUGGGCCUCACCGGUCAUUACGGUGCUUCCAAGCCGGAAACUGAAGCCAUCGCUCUCAUCCACCACGCUAUUAACUCCGGCGUUACUUUCCUUGACACCUCUGACAUGUAUGGUCCUGAAACUAAUGAAAUUCUCCUUGGAAAGGUUCGAUUUUGUUAGUAUCUGAUAUUUCAUUUCGUUCUCUGCUGGGAAAACUUAGAGAUGGGAAUUAGCCUUGAUUUGUUUGAGCUUCAUAGCUUUAGAAAUGAUUGGUCACUUGUUGAAACUUCGAAUUCUGUUAGGCUCUUAAGGAUGGUGUGAGGGAGAAAGUGGAGCUUGCGACCAAAUUUGGAAUUAGCUAUGCAGAGGGAAAGAGGGAAAUUAAGGGAGAUCCUGCCUAUGUUAGAGCUGCUUGUGAGGCUAGUUUGAAGCGGCUAGAUGUUUCCUGUAUUGAUCUUUAUUAUCAGCAUCGGAUCGAUACCCGUGUCCCUAUCGAAAUCACUGUAAGCCCUCCUCUUACUUUCAAUUGAAAUGGACGUUACUUAUACUUCAGGUGGGCUUGAGUGUGUCUCAGUAAGCUUCACAUCUUUGGAUUGGUAUAUGUUUUGAGAUGAUGUUUUCUGCUUAGGUUACUCUUUUAGAAAUUGCUAGCUUAUUCAUAUAGAACCGACUUCUGGUGAAAGUAUCUCUCAUCUACCACUUAAAAGCCACCUUGUGAGGAUAGGGUGCCCUUUAGAGUUUAGACUUAUAAGCCAUUUACUUAGACACUUUUCCUUCCAAUGUGGGAUCUUAUCAUCUCCCUUAAUGAUUGUUCGUUUAAAUAGAAGAUCCUCUCUAGUUCGAUUGCCAUACUUCCUGACCUUUAUAUAGAAAGCUGUUUUGCUGAACUUAACAAAUGUUUUGUCUGUCAAUUCCAAGAUGGGAGAACUAAAGAAGCUGGUUGAAGAGGGUAAAAUAAAGUACAUCGGUUUGUCUGAGGCCUCUGGCUCGACUAUCAGAAGAGCGCAUGCUGUUCACCCAAUUACUGCCGUGCAGUUAGAGUGGUCCCUGUGGACGAGAGACGUGGAAGAAGAAAUCGUCCCAACCUGUAGGUAUGCAGAUUUCAUCCUCCUUUCAUGAUGCAUUAAUUCAUCAAUCAUGUAACGUCUUGUCUUCUUUCUUCAGGGAACUUGGGAUUGGGAUUGUUUCUUACAGUCCUCUUGGACGAGGUUUCUUUGCAUCGGGACCCAAGCUUGUUGAGAACCUAGUCAAUAAUGACUUCAGAAAGGCAAGUACACAGCCUUUUUAUGACUUAUUUGAUUGAUUAACCUUAAAGAAGCGGUGGAUAAAUCAAAUGACUUUAUAUAAAACUCAAUUAUUGCAGGCUCUACCAAGAUUCCAACAGGAAAACUUAGACCACAACAAGAUUCUCUACGAGAAGGUUUGUGCAAUAUCAAAGAAGAAAGGAUGCAGUCCCGGACAACUAGCCCUCGCAUGGGUUCACCACCAGGGAGAUGAUGUUUGCCCCAUCCCAGGAACCACUAAGAUUGAAAACCUCAACCAGAACAUUGGAGCUUUAUCAGUGAAACUCACUCCUGAAGAGAUGUCUGAGCUCGAGACCAUUGCCCAACCAGAGUCUGUGAAAGGAGAAAGAUACAUGGCAACAGUGCCAACCUUCAAAAACUCUGACACUCCACCGUUGUCUUCUUGGAAUGCUGUGUAAAACUGUCUCAGAGUUUUCUCUGGCCAAACCGAUUGUUUAAAGAGUUUAAAUGUGGUUCUGGCCAAAGGAUGAUUUAUGUACCCAUCUUAUAUACUGUGACUAGUCUUACAAUAACUCUUACAAGCUAAAGGCUUACCAAAACAAAGGUUAUCUGUUCAAUCUCCUCUGCUCUGAUUUCUUCUUCCGCAUUUUCCACUUCGCCUUUACCAAUUUUUCUAUACCCAUGUUUCCUCUACCAGCUUCAAUCCAAUUACUUAUGCUUCCCUAGCUACCAAUUAAUCAGCUUCUUCUCUUUGAACUUCUAGUCAACAACUUCUAUAGUAAAAACAUCAUUGUUAUUUUCGGUUUUGGUUAAUUAUGCACUUCAUCAUCAACUUGAAGUUCAACAACUCUGCUCGCGCGAGGGAGAUGAAUCCAUGGCAACUUGCGGAAUGAGGAGGAUAAAGCUGGGAAGUCAAGGCCUUGAGGUAUCGGCGCAAGGCUUUGGUUGCGCUCACUACGGUCCUUCAAAGCCGGAAACUGACGACAUUGCUCUCCUCCAUCACGCUAAUAUCUCCGGUCCUCACACCAAUGAAUUGCUCCUCGCCAAGGUUUUGAUUUCGAUCAGUUUCGAGAGAUUGUUAGAGAUGUUUGGGGUUUGUGUGUUCUCAUUUGGUCGAAUCCCAAACAACAAAAACUUGGCAUUGAUUCUUUUCAUGAAUUUCAUAUUUGUAGUAUGUAGAGAUGAUGAUUACAUUGUUGAAUUUGUUUAACUCUGCCAGGCUUUGAAGGAUGGUAUGAGGGAGAAAGUAGUGCUUGCUACCAAAUUUGGAUGCAUUUUGGUUAAGGGAAAGAGAGAUGUUAGAGGAGAUCCUGAGUAUGUUAGAGCUGCGUGUGAGGCUAGUUUAAAGCGGCUAGAUGUUUCCUGCAUUGAUCUUUAUUAUCAACAUCGGGUCGAUGCGCGCGUCCCUAUUGAAAUCACCGUAAGCCCUCCUCUUGCAAAUCCUCAUCCAUGCCAUUGUUUCAAAGUUUUCAAGUCAGUUCGUCUUAGUCUUGGGAAAUGAUUGAACUAAUAGGCUCUCUGACAGUAGAUUGGAGGCGAUGAUAUUCGCUUGCGUCACUUUAAGUGAACAUUGGAGCUUUAUCAGUGAAACUCACUCCAGAAGAGAUUUCUGAGCUCGAGACCAUUUCCCAACCAGAGUCUGUGAAAGGAGAAAGAUACAUGGCCACAGUGCCAACCUUCAAGAACUCCGACACACCACCGUUGUGUUCUUGGAAUGCUGUGUAAAACUGUUUGUGAGUUUCUCUGGCCAAACCUAUGGUUUUAAGAGUUUAAGGUGGCUCUAGCCAAAGGAUGAUUUAUGACUUUAUGUAUAGAAUACAUUAUUUUCUACCCAUCUUAUACACUGUGAGUCUGUGACCAGGUCUCUGCAUAGUCUUAGUGAUCCAUAUCAGCAUGAUUUAAACGUCCCACCUGGCUUAGCGUUAGGAGUUUUAGACACCUAAUGGCUAAUGCCAAUGAGUAUUCCCAUCAUAUUUGAACAUUUUCCACUUCUUCCAUUUAAAACUUAGCUAGAGCCAAUGAUUUGGAACCAGCCUACAAGACUUCCAAGUAGACAAACUAUAGGUGACAAAAGAUAAAACUUGCCACGUACAGUAUUCUCAAAUAAAGAACACAAAUUGUAGAUAAGAACAUGAAGACCAAAAACUACCUAAUAAUACAAAACUUGCCUACUCAAGAAGACAUGACUCGUUGACUCAGGAUUCAAGACCAUGAAAAAAACAAAUAAUCGAUUAGGUGAAGACUACUGAGCACAAAGUGUUGACACAUCUUUGAAGAUAUAUCACUCAAACACGUACGUAUACAUAGUUCUCAUGUAAGACUAAAAGAAAGAUCUUUUGUAAAAGCACUUUUGUAAAAGAAAGAGGCAAUUUGAGAGUUUUUUUAAUCACACCACUCAUCAACCCAACUUCAACAACUACUCCACUCAGUUCUAAACUCUACAAAAGAGAGAAAGAGAGAGUGAGAUUUGUGACAAAAAUCCAUGGCUGAAGCUUGCAGAGUGAGGAGGAUGAAGCUAGGAAGCCAAGGCCUUGAGGUAUCGGCACAAGGCCUUGGUUGCAUGGCCCUCUCCGCUCGCUACGGUGCUCCCAAGCCGGAAACUGAAGCCAUCGCUCUCCUCCACCAUGCUAUCAACUCUGGUGUUACUUUCUUUGACACCUCUGACAUGUACGGUCCUGAGACCAACGAGUUGCUCCUAGGCAAGGUUCGAUCUACGACUUUAUCUUUUUUUAUUCAAAAGAUUGUCCUAGAUAUUUUGGUUUUUUAUCUUUUAGGAAACAAACUUAGACCACAACAAGAUUUUGUAUGAGAAAGGUUUGUUGAAAUUCAUUGUAUUGUCAGGCUCUGAAAGAUGGCUUAAAGGGGAAAGUGGAGAUUGCGACCAAAUUUGGAUUCUUUGUAAUAGAGGGGGAAAUUUCCGAAAUAAGAGGAGAUCCUGAGUAUGUAAGAGCUGCGUGUGAGGCAAGUUUAAAGAGGUUAGAUAUUGCCUGCAUUGAUCUCUAUUAUCAGCAUCGUGUCGAUACUCGUGUUCCUAUCGAAAUCACUGUAAGCCUCCUCUUUCCCAAUCCUGCUUCAUUCUAUGGUUUCAAUGUUUCCAAGUUACCAACAGUUUCUUUGUCUGUGAAUUCCAAGAUGGGAGAACUUAAGAAGCUAGUGGAAGAAGGUAAAAUAAACUAUAUUGGUUUGUCAGAAGCUUCAGCUUCAACUAUCAGAAGAGCGCAUGCUGUUCACCCCAUAACCGCUGUGCAAAUAGAAUGGUCCUUAUGGUCGAGAGACGCGGAAGAAGAUAUCAUUCCAACCUGCAGGUGUGAAGAAUCAUAACUAGACAUAAAUUUCAUGCUUGUUUACAUGUUUUAUUCACAGUUUCUUUAUAUUUCACCAGGGAACUCGGGAUUGGAAUAGUAGCUUAUAGCCCUCUAGGAAGAGGCUUCUUAGCAUCAGGACCCAAGCUUGCGGAGAAUCUGGAAGACGAUGACUUCAGAAAGGCAACUACUGUUAUUUGCAUUUGAAUACAUGAUUGAUGAACCUUUGCUCAUUUGUGUUCUUUAUCGCAGACUCUACCAAGAUUCCAACAGGAAAACUUAGACCACAACAAAAUUCUCUUUGAGAAAGUAUCUGCAAUGUCUGCGAAGAAAGGAUGCUCUCCCGCACAACUAGCCCUUGCAUGGGUUCAUCACCAGGGAGCUGAUGUUUGCCCCAUUCCAGGAACCACGAAGAUCGAAAACCUCAACCAGAACAUUGGAGCUUUAUCAGUGAAACUUACUACCGAAGAGAUGUUUGAGCUCGAGUCCCUUGCCCAACCAGAGUCUGUGCAAGGAGAAAGAUAUAUGGCCUCAGUGUCCACCUUCAAGAACUCCGACACUCCGCCGUUGUCUUCUUGGAAAGCCGCUUAAAACUGCAUGAGAGUUUCUCUGGCCAAACCGC
rnacentral:lncRNA from 1 species